rnacentral:rRNA from 1 species
GAUGAACGCUAGCGGCAGGCCUAACACAUGCAAGUCGAGGGGUAGAGGAAGCUUGCUUCCUUGAGACCGGCGCACGGGUGCGUAACGCGUAUGCAAUCUACCUUGUACUGAGGGAUAGCCCAGAGAAAUUUGGAUUAAUACCUCAUAGUAUUAUGAAAUCGCAUGGUUUUAUAAUUAAAGUUCCAACGGUACAAGAUGAGCAUGCGUCCCAUUAGUUAGUUGGUAAGGUAACGGCUUACCAAGACAAUGAUGGGUAGGGGUCCUGAGAGGGAGAUCCCCCACACUGGUACUGAGACGCGGACCAGACUCCUACGGGAGGCAGCAGUGAGGAAUAUUGGUCAAUGGACGCAAGUCUGAACCAGCCAUGCCGCGUGCAGGAUGAAGCAUCUAUGGUGUGUAAACUGCUUUUAUACGGGAAGAAACACUCCUACGUGUAGGAACUUGACGGUACCGUAAGAAUAAGGAUCGGCUAACUCCGUGCCAGCCGCCGCCGUAAGAC